CCUGGUCUGAAACUGUUCAUCUCAAUGCUUGACUAGAAGGUCUCAGGCUCAGGCCUGUUUGUCAUUGUCUGUGUGUCUUAUACUCUGAGACAGCAAUGGUGCAUGUAUUUCUCCUGUUUCUCACAGUGCUCUCUGUUUCCAUAUUUGUCUUUCUCUUUCUCUGACUCUUUACAAUUCUCUAUAUUGUGGGUGUGUCUCAGUUUGUGAGUCUGUGUGUGCAAAUGUCCAAAUACAUAUGGACAACUUUUAUAUGUUUAUAUUUCCCUCCACAAUUGGAAUCUAGUGGUCUAUGUCUUGGGCUGAGUAUUUACCUGUAACACUUUCAUGGUGAUGUGAAUGCUUUGUUCUGGGAUCCCCACUGUCAACAGCACAGUUCUUUGCCUAUGUGAGCACGUUUGCCUGUAUAUUUGUAUUCGUUGUGCAGAUUAUAAUUUUGUGUUGAUAUAUGGUCUUUUAUCAAAACAGGAUAAAAGAAAUCACAGAUUUCUGGGUGUGUUGGGGUGGGGGAGCAUGGAGAGGUGUGGCCAAGGCUCUUGAUAGCUUAACUGGCUUGACUGCAGAUUUCUUCUUGACUGAACAAAGGGAGCCAGGGAGCCCUCCAUCUGGAUGCUGAGAUUCUGGUGUCCUGGACUCAGAAAAACACGUUUCUGAAGCUGAAGAAGAUCCCAAUAUGCAGAAUUCAGAAGGUGUCCUUCCAGGACUGGGGUAGUACAGGACCCACCCUGAGUUCAUAUAUACCUAAAUUCUGAUGUUCAUUGUAUUCUAUCAUUUGGGGCCAGGCCCUACUUCAGGCCAAAUCCUUAUUAUGAAGACCUGGAGAGAAUGGAGGAGGCGGUCAUGUCAAUUCUGCACAACUUAGAGAUGGAGAACACUGAGAUCCAUGAGAACAGCCAUAAGCUGAAGAAGGAGAUGACCUUCUCUAGCUAAGUCCUGAAACCUGCUCAGCCAGCUCCUGAUGGAGAACACAUGCAGGAAGAAGUUGGUCCCACUGAAACAGGAGAGCAAGGACGUACAUCUUGAUUGUGCACUGAAACAGAAAUAUUUGGUUGACUUCAACAAGAAAGAUAAAGACCAGCAACGUCCAGACCCAGCAUCUGGUCUCAGAAAGUGCAAGAGAGCUGGAAUUGGACACACCCCAGUAAGAGAGCUUCCUGAAGAAUAAGUUGCUUUCUCAGGAGUCUCUGAUGACAAACAUCCUGAAUGAAAUCACCACUUAAGAGACAACAGGGGGGACCGCCUUUCAUUAUGUGUGCUAGAAGAGA
ensembl:lncRNA